rnacentral:rRNA from 1 species
UACGGAGGAUGCGAGCGUUAUCCGGAUUUAUUGGGUUUAAAGGGUGCGUAGGCGGAUCGUUAAGUCAGUGGUCAAAUUGAGGGGCUCAACCCCUUCCCGCCAUUGAAACUGGCGAUCUUGAGUGGAAGAGAAGUAUGCGGAAUGCGUGGUGUAGCGGUGAAAUGCAUAGAUAUCACGCAGAACCCCGAUUGCGAAGGCAGCAUGCCGGCUUCCUACUGACGCUGAGGUUCGAAAGCGUGGGUAGCAAACAGG